rnacentral:rRNA from 1 species
CAAGUGAAGAGUUUGAUCCUGGCUCAGAGUGAACGCUGGCGGCAGGCCUAACACAUGCAAGUCGAACGGCAGCACAGGGGAGCUUGCUCCCUGGGUGGCGAGUGGCGGACGGGUGAGGAAUGCGUCGGAAUCUGCCUUUUCGUGGGGGAUAACGUAGGGAAACUUACGCUAAUACCGCAUACGACCUACGGGUGAAAGCCGGGGACCUUCGGGCCUGGCGCGGAAAGAUGAGCCGACGUCGGAUUAGCUAGUUGGAGGGGUAACGGCCCACCAAGGCGACGAUCCGUAGCUGGUCUGAGAGGAUGAUCAGCCACACUGGGACUGAGACACGGCCCAGACUCCUACGGGAGGCAGCAGUGGGGAAUAUUGGACAAUGGGCGCAAGCCUGAUCCAGCCAU